AACGGCUCAGUAACACGUAGCUAAUCUACCCUUAAGUUGAGGAUAACCUCGGGAAACUGAGGAUAAUACUCAAUAAGAGAUAUACCCUGGAAAGAUUUAUCUCCCAAACUCGCGCUUAAGGAUGAGGCUGCGGCGGAUUAGGUUGUUGGCGGGGUAAUAGCCCACCAAGCCAAUGAUCCGUAAGGGCUCUUAGCGGAGAGGCCCUGAGAGGGAAUCUGAGACACUAUUCCCAGCCCUACGGGGUGCAGCAGGUAGGAAUCUUUUGCAAUGCGCGCAAGCGUGACAAAGCGAGCCAGAGUGCUUUUCAAUUGAAAAGCUUUUGCCAAAUUCAAAAAGUUUGGCGAAUAAGGACUGGGCAAGACUAGUGCCAGCCGCCGCGGUAAUACUAGCGGUCCAAGUCGCAGCCAUCAUUAUUGGGUCUAAAACAUCCGUAGCUUGCUUAAUAAGUUCCUUGUGAAAUCUCAUCUCUUAAGGAUGAGGCGUGCAAGGAGUACUGCUAAGCUAGAGACUGGAAGACGUAGAAAGUAUGUAUAAAGUAACGGUAAAAUGUGUUAAUCUUAUGCAGACUCACAAUAGCGAAGGCAUUCUACGAGGACAGUUCUGACAGUAAAGGAUGAAGGCUAGGGGCGCAAAAUGGAUUAGAUACCCAUGUAGUCCUAGCAGUAAACACUGCACACUAAACAUUAGUACCUCUUCGAGAGGUAUUAGUGCUGUAGAGAAGUCGAAGAGUGUGCUACCUGGGAAGUAUAGCCGCAAGGCCGAAACUUAAAGGAAUUGGCGGGGGAGCAC
rnacentral:rRNA from 1 species